ensembl:lncRNA
UGACUCUGGUCAUGAGAUGAGUAGAUUAUAGAGAAUAGUGGUGCUGUUGUCACCCACCAUUUUCACUCGACACGGUACAUACCGUAGCACUCAGCACUUCCUCAUGGGAGAUGAUUUCAUGAUGAUAAUAAUGACGAAGGACAAUAAUAAACAUGGAACUUCCCCCAUCUUUUAAUUCAGUCUGUGAUGACGCCUGGAACGACAUGUCCCUCCGGGAAUUUAUUAGUGUUUCCUCAAACAAACAAACAGGUUUACAUUUCAUCUGCUCUUUGGGGGAACGUCUCAAAUGGCACCCUAUUCCCUAUAUAGUGCACUACUAUAGACCCUAUUCCCUAUAUAGUGGUACUACUAUAGACCCUAUUCCCUAUAUAGUGCACUACUAUAGACCCUAUUCCCUAUAUAGUGGUACUACUAUAGACCCUAUUCCCUAUAUAGUGGUACUACUAUAGACCCUAUUCCCUAUGUAGUGGUACUACUAUAGACCCUAUUCCCUAUGUAGUGCCCUACUUUAGACCCUAUUCCCUAUGUAGUGCCCUACUUUAGACAAGAGCCCUAUUUCCUAUAUAGUGCACUACUUUAGACCAGAGUGUCAAUGGCUUUGAUCAGAAGUAGUGCACUACUUCAGACCAGAGUGUCAAUAAGACGUAGUGCACUACUUCAGACCAGAGUGUCAAUAAGACGUAGUGCACUACUUCAGACCAGAGUGUCAAUAAGACGUAGGGCACUACUUCAGACCAGAGUGUCAAUAAGACGUAGUGCACUACUUCAGACCAGAGUGUCAAUAAGACGUAGGGCACUACUUUAGACCAGAGUGUCAAUAAGACGUAGUGCACUACUUUAGACCAGAGUGUCAAUAAGACGUAGUGCACUACUUCAGACCAGAGUGUCAACGGCUUUGAUCAGAAGUAGUGCACUACUUUAGACUAGAGUGUCAAUAAGACGUAGUGCACUACUUUAGACCAGUGUCAAUAGGAAGUAGUGCACUACUUUAGACCAGUGUCAAUAGGAAGUAGUGCACUACACAGGGAACAGGGCACCAUUUGAGACGCUCGAACCAAAACAUGAUUACACGGUGUUAAGAAAUGUAGAAAAAAAACCAACACAGAAAUCCUUUUGGCAUGAGGAUAAAAGCCUUUUUAAGCCAGAGAGGAGUGUAAAAGUAAGGCAGUAACUGUCCUUCAUCAAAUUAUAUUAUUACAUAAACAACAUUUUGUUAAUCUAUUGAAUCCUUUUGGGUUAGUUUGUUGUCGUUUUUCACACAGGGGCUGUUGUUGUAUAAAUAUGACCAGUAUGUGCACUUUCAAACAUUCACGUUUAUAUAUAUAUAUAUAUAUAUAUAAAAAUAAACAUAAACAGUUUCACUUAGACAACAGCCACAGAAGACAUCACCAGGGAAACUGGGCUACAGUGAGAGAUGGCAGCCAUUUUGGAUCUGUUUUAAACAAGGGUCCCUCAUGUCCUUCAGGGGGUACCUAGGUUUAUGCCUGAUUGAAAAAGAGCUUAAAUUAUUUUUUACUUCAGUGAUCCUUUUUUAAAACUUUUUUCACUUAAAUUAGAUAUAAACUCAGUAUGAGUUGUACAUUAAAUUGGUUAGCGAUUUAAGGUGUAUUUACAAUGUGGCUGAAACGCUGUUGGUAUUCAGCUGUUAGAAACAUCAAGACAGAUAGAUACUGGUCAGUUAGAGACAGUAGGAUAGAUACUGGUCAGUUAGAGACAGUAGGAUAGAUACUGGUCAGUUAGAGACAGUAGGAUAGAUAGAUACUGGUCAGUUAGAGACAGUAGGACAGAUAGAUACUGGUCAGUUAGAGACAGUAGGAUAGAUAGAUACUGGUCAGUUAGAGACAGUAGGAUAGAUAGAUAGAUACUGGUCAGUUAGAGACAGUAGGACAGAUAGAUACUGGUCAGUUAGAGACAGUAGGACAGAUAGAUACUGGUCAGUUAAGAGACAGUAGGACAGAUAGAUACUGGUCAGUUAGAGACAGUAGGAUAGAUAGUUACCGGUCAGUUAGAGACAGUAGGACAGAUAGAUACUGGUCAGUUAGAGACAGUAGGAUAGAUACUGGUCAGUUAGAGACAGUAGGAUAGAUACUGGUCAGUUAGAGACAGUAGGAUAGAUACAGGUCAGUUAGAGACAGUAGGACAGAUACUGGUCAGUUAGAGACAGUAGGAUAGAUAGUUACUGGUCAGUUAGAGACAGUAGGACAGAUAGAUACUGGUCAGUUAGAGACAGUAGGACAGAUAGAUACUGGUCAGUUAGAGACAGUAGGACAGAUAGAUACUGGUCAGUUAGAGACAGUAGGAUAGAUACUGG